GGCUCACCUGGCGACACCAGCAGCACCUUCGCCCCGCAGCACUGGAAGCAGUGCAGCAGGGACUUCGCGCGGAUGUUGUAAUUGAGGCACGCCAUGGCACAGCCCAGCUUCACCAGCCCCAGCCACAGCCACACGUAGGCCGGCUCGUUACCCAUAAGGAGCGCCACGCAGUCUCCCUGGCGCAGGCCGAGGUGGUCGUGCAGCGCCCGGGCCACUUGAUUGCUGCGCCGGUCCACCUGCGCGUAGGUGAGAGUCUCGUCGCGGAAGAGCAGAAAAGGCUUGUGUGGCGUCUGGCGCGCUUUCUCCAGGAACGCCCGCAGGAUGGUGCGCGCCGGCCGCCGCUUCCCGUAGCUGCGCACCCUCCG
rnacentral:lncRNA from 1 species